UAGCUACCGCAUUCUGUGAAGAAGAGGCAAAGAUGUCUCAGCUUCAGAGCCAAGUGAAAACUUGUGUCGAUGACAUCGAGGAUGUGUUAGCGUCCUCUGAUAGUCUCUUCAGCAACGAGGUCCACAAUAGGCUUAGUGCGACGUAUCAACGAUUUCUGCAGCAUGUGUGGUGCGAGGUUCCAAUGAACAGCGCAGAUGGAUCGGCCCUCGCAACAGUGUCUUGCAUGCCAAUAUGGGAGCUUUUGAAUCAACACACAAGCGCAUGCGUGCUCUCUGCAGCACCAGAGAAAGCUAUCGCCGUGCAGCUGCUGAGCUCAAUGUACCCCAAGUCAAAGGACCGCCGAUGCGUGUUCCAGCAGCCCAGCUGUUAUGGGAGCAACAGCCAGACUGCAGUGCCACUGAGCACACACGUUCCAAUUCAAAUGUUCGUUCCCGAUAAUUCCAGCGCUGAACAAAACCUCGAAUACGUGAAGGCCGCCCAACGCAUCUUGAGAAUAGCGACAGUUGGAAAUUAUACAGAUGCGAAGGAGUCCGCUUCAGUCGCCUCUGCGGUGCGCACGUUUAUCAAUACUGUGCUCCCAAGAUGCACGCUUAUCUCUCACCCCGGAGAGCUCCCGAAACACACAAGAGGAGAAGUGCACAUUCUUUGGGACAGUCCCACAUGUGAUUGGUCAUCUGGGAGAAUUUUUCUCCUCACACUUUGGUGCCUUCUUGUUGCUGCCGAGUACCUGAGCCUUCCGGAAGCUAGAAACCUCUCUUUAUUCCUCUGCAGCUCGCGCUGGUCGACGCGCCUGGUUGAACUCGAUGGACGUAAGGUUAGCUACAGUGAGCUCCUGUCUCCUCUUCUGGACAUUUGCUCAUUGUGCCUGUCUGUGAAUCCGCGAUCUGUUUCAGCCUCUGUGGACACAGUACCGCUCAUCGACCCGCGUGUCAUGCCCUUUCUAAUGGGUAGUGGUAUCAAGGAAGAGCACUAUGAGAUCGGUGCAAGCUUUGCAACGGAGUACAGUGCGAAACCAGCAACGAAAGGCAAAAAGUCGUUGACGCUUCGUCGCGCAGAGUGCGUAAGGGAACAGCUGAUGGAGAGUAUCCCAAAUGAGAUCGGAUUUAUGGGCACCAGCUCCUCUUGUCGUGAUUUUGACCAGCUGGCAUAUUUGUGCCGAGAUUGUCUUUUUGUACCAACCACCAAAAGUAUAGCAAGCGGAAUUUCCGCUUCCAGGCGCCGUGAUAUGCUGUUCAACAGGAAAAGGACGCGAAGUAUAUCAAGCUCGGAUGGGCCUUGCUUUAUUCCUGUCAAGUCUGCUGUGACCAACAUGCUUGAAAAAACUGACACUGAUGCACUGGUGACACUAGAAAGGCUAUGCUGCAAGUGGAGGGAAGAUGCGGCAUGAUUUUGUCCACUCUUGUUGACUGUGCAAGCAUUGUUCUUGGAUUUAUGUUGUUUUUCAUGUGAAACACAAAAAUAGUAAUAAAAAACAAAC
rnacentral:misc_RNA from 1 species